rnacentral:sRNA from 2 species
CUAUGCCACUCGCAAACUCCGCUUCUCGUGCGCCGUCCAUACCUGUCUGACGAUGACUCGCUACGCUUUGUUGGCC